GGCGAGGUAGCUCAGUCAGGCAGAGCAAGCGGCUCAUAAUCGCUGUGUCGCCGGUUCAAGUCCGGCCCUCGCUACCA
rnacentral:tRNA from 1 species